UACGUAGGGCGCAAGCGUUAUCCGGAAUUAUUGGGCGUAAAGAGCUCGUAGGCGGUUUGUCGCGUCUGCCGUGAAAGUCCGGGGCUCAACUCCGGAUCUGCGGUGGGUACGGGCAGACUAGAGUGAUGUAGGGGAGACUGGAAUUCCUGGUGUAGCGGUGGAAUGCGCAGAUAUCAGGAGGAACACCAAUAGCGAAGGCAGCUCGCUGGGACGUUACUGACGCUGAGGCGCGAAAGCGUGGGGAGCGAACAGG
rnacentral:rRNA from 1 species